UGGGGAAUAUUGCACAAUGGAGGAAACUCUGAUGCAGCAACGCCGCGUGAGCGAUGAAGGUCUUCGGAUCGUAAAGCUCUGUCUUUAGGGAUGAUAAUGACAGUACCUAAGGAGGAAGCCACGGCUAACUACGUGCCAGCAGCCGCGGUAAUACGUAGGUGGCAAGCGUUAUCCGGAAUUAUUGGGCGUAAAGGGAGCGUAGGCGGAUAUUUAAGUGGGAUGUGAAAUACUUGGGCUCAACCCAAGAACUGCAUUCCAAACUGGAUAUCUAGAGUGCAGGAGAGGAGAGUGGAAUUCCUAGUGUAGCGGUGAAAUGCGUAGAGAUUAGGAAGAACACCAGUGGCGAAGGCGACUCUCUGGACUGUAACUGACGCUGAGGCUCGAAAGCGUGGGGAGCGAACA
rnacentral:rRNA from 1 species